rnacentral:rRNA from 1 species
UACGUAGGGGGCAAGCGUUGUCCGGAUUUAUUGGGCGUAAAGAGCGUGUAGGCGGCUUUGCAAGUCCGUUGUGAAAACUCGAGGCUCAACCUCGAGACGCCGGUGGAAACUGCAAGGCUAGAGUCCGGAAGAGGAGAGUGGAAUUCCUGGUGUAGCGGUGAAAUGCGCAGAUAUCAGGAAGAACACCCGUGGCGAAGGCGGCUCUCUGGGACGGUACUGACGCUGAGACGCGAAAGCGUGGGGAG